rnacentral:rRNA from 1 species
UCUACGGGAGGCUGCAGUGGGGAAUAUUGGACAAUGGGCGAAAGCCUGAUCCAGCCAUGCCGCGUGUGUGAAGAAGGCCUUCGGGUUGUAAAGCACUUUCAGUGGGGAAGAAAGCCUUGGGGCUAAUACCCUCGAGGAAGGACAUCACCCACAGAAGAAGCACCGGCUAACUCCGUGCCAGCAGCCGCGGUAAUACGGAGGGUGCGAGCGUUAAUCGGAAUUACUGGGCGUAAAGCGCGCGUAGGCGGUCUGAUAAGCCGGUUGUGAAAGCCCCGGGCUCAACCUGGGAACGGCAUCCGGAACUGUCAGGCUAGAGUGCAGGAGAGGAAGGUAGAAUUCCCGGUGUAGCGGUGAAAUGCGUAGAGAUCGGGAGGAAUACCAGUGGCGAAGGCGGCCUUCUGGACUGACACUGACGCUGAGGUGCGAAAGCGUGGGUAGCAAACAGGAUUAGAUACCCUGGUAUC